rnacentral:rRNA from 1 species
UACAACAUAAUGUUAAUGCACCAAAUCCCAUUAGAACUUCGUAGUUGAGCGCGCUCAGGCUAGAGUAGUAUUGGGAUGGGUGACCACCCAAGAAGUCCUAGUGUUUUAC